AUAAGGCAGCCCAGGAGCAGCCCAGCAUAGGAGUGUGGGCUUAGAGGGGACUGUGUCCAAUAUGGCCUGGACUCAUCUCCUCCUUCUUUUCCUCUCUCUCUGCACAGGUUCCCUGUCCCAACCUGUGCUCACACAGCCAGCCUCCUUCUCUGCAUCUCCGGCAGCAUCUGCCAGACUCACCUGCAUCCUAAGCAGUGGCUUUAGUGUGGGUGACUUUGCAAUACGGUGGUAUCAGCAAAAGCCAGAGAGUCCUCCUCGGUAUCUCCUGAGUUAUUACUCAGAUUCAGAUAAGCACCAGGGCUCUGGGGUCCCCAGUCGCUUCUCUGGAUCCAAAGACACUUCAAUCAAUGCAGGUGUUCUGCACAUUUCUGGACUACAACCUGAAGAUGAAGCUGACUAUUACUGUU